GGGUCGCUAGCUCAAUCUGGCAGAGCAACAGCCUUUUAAGCUGGUGGUUCUGGGUUCGAUUCCCAGGCGGCCCA
rnacentral:tRNA from 6 species